rnacentral:rRNA from 1 species
AACGAACGCUGGCGGCAUGCCUAACACAUGCAAGUCGAACGAGACCUUCGGGUCUCGUGGCGCACGGGUGCGUAACGCGUGGGAACCUGCCAUUAGGUUCGGAAUAACUCCCCGAAAGGGGUGCUCAUACCGGAUCAUGUCUUCGGACCAAAGAUUUAUCGCAUUUGGAUGGGCCCGAGUUGGAUUAGUUAGUUGGUAGGGUAAAAGCAUACCAAGGCGACGAUCCAUAGCUGGUCUGAGAGGAUGAUCAGCCACACUGGGACUGAGACACGGCCCAGACUCCUACGGGAGGCAGCAGUGGGGAAUAUUGGACAAUGGGCGAAAGCCUGAACCAGCAAUGCCGCGUGAGUGAUGAAGGCCUUAGGGUUGUAAAUCUCUUUUACCCGGUAUGAUAAUGACAGUACCGGGAGAAUAAGCUCCGGCUAACUCCGUG